rnacentral:rRNA from 1 species
UACAGAGGGGGCGAGCGUUAUUCGGAAUUAUUGGGCGUAAAGGGCGCGUAGGCGGCUUGACAAGUCCCGGGUGAAAUCCCUCGGCUCAACCGAGGAACUGCCUUGGAAACUGUCUGGCUCGAGGCCGGGAGAGGGUAGUGGAAUUCCCAGUGUAGCGGUGAAAUGCGUAGAUAUUGGGAGGAACACCGGUGGCGAAGGCGACUACCUGGCCUGUUUCUUGACGCUGAGGCGCGAAAGCUAGGGGAGCAAACGGG